UGAAAUAAUGUGCAUUUGCUGUAAAUAUGGACGAACACCAAUGUUGUUGGGUAGUAAUGGGUAUUGCAGUAGUGCUGCAAUCCUCAAUAAGAACCAACAUACACAU
rfam:Spinacia oleracea cultivar SynViroflay scaffold22088.con0006.1, whole genome shotgun sequence.